UAUACCCAUACACACUGCUGCAGCCCGGCUAACUACAGGAUCCUGCAGCUGGAGUAAUGGCGGGCUGCUUAAUUAAUUAGCUGAACCUCGCGGAGGGUGGAUAUCUGAGUGAGGUUCACUCUGCGGGGACAGUGUGACACACAGGCGGGAAAUCCGCCUCUCUGCACCUUUCGCAGGUGUUAAAGUGUAUCAUUCAGACUGACUGAGAAGCCGAGUCUGAAGAAAAAGACAUGCUGACGGCUGUGCAGCUUUUGAUCUCCAAGCUGCUUUCGCCACUCUGGAGGAGAGCAGAGGAUGAAGAUAAUGAGUAUUAUUAUGGUGGAGGUAUGAAGGAGAUUCGUCAGAUGCGUGGUGGUGUUGUGACUCAGCUCUGUCAGGAUUAUGGCCUGAUUGAUCAUUCUGUGUACUUCACUGCUGGAGAGGUUCUAGGAGGGGUGCCGUUGUGUGUGGGUGACCCUGUCCAUGCCCUGGCUGUUCGAGAUGGAGUGCACGGAGGUUGGAGGGCGCUCCGGGUCGAGAAGCAGAUGGAUACGUGGGAGGGAGGAGCUAGGGCAUCACUUGAACUGGAUCCCAAUAAACUCAGGUCUCUGAUUGGAACAGUAACGUCAUGUGACAAAGAUGGUGGAUUUAUAAAUCAGACAACGUAUUUUCCUCGAUCAGCCCUGUCUGAAGGUUUUGAACCCAUGAAAGGAGACUGGGUGCAGGCACAGUACGUUAUUAGCCCUUUAGAAUGGAGUAGUCAGGCUCGGACUGUUGCUCCAUUACGGUAUCGCCGCAUGGACAAAGUAUAUGUGUCAAACAUAUUUGGCAGUAAUGGAAUUGUGGAGGACAGUGUUUUUUUCAGUCUGGACUCUCUCUUGUUGCCUGCUGGGUAUCAACCCACAAAGGGAGAUCUAGUGAGUGUUGUGGUUGUGGAGAGCAGUCAGUCAUUCUACUGCUGGAGAGCACUCUGCAUGGCCCCCAUUAAACCAAGCCUGUAUUCAGCAGUGCCUAUCUGUCCAGAUGCAGAUAUUCAGACCUUGCUGGAGAAUAAGGAAGGGCUUGUUGUCAGUGAGGAAACCCAGUUUGGAUCUAUGUUUUUUGAGGAGACUAAGGAACUGCAAGUCUGGAUUCACAAUACAAGCUCAGAGACCCACACUCUGAAAUGCUGUGAAUUUGCUGGCUGGGACUCUGAGGAACAAUUUACACUGGGCCCCAGACUUUCUCCAUCUAACCAUAACACACCCUCAGACCCACAGAACCAACAAGCCAUCUCUCAGAAAAAUCCCAAGGGCCUUGUAGCUGGGAUUGGCCUCUUUUCACUACCCAGUGCUUCCUCUGGUACUGCAGAGAAAAUUAAGGAAGGGUGUGAAACUGAUAGUGAGGUAGAUAAACAUGGAGAGUUUGAGUGUGACAGCAAGAAAUGCAAUAAGGAGACACCAACUGUGCUGGGAAUCGAGAGGAAUCAGGAGAUUGCACCAGGAGAGAAGGUGUCUGUCACUGUGUGCUGCCAGGCCAAGAACCUGGGUUGCUGUACUGAACUGCUGCUGCUGCACUUCUCCUCCUUCACCAUUGGCCGGCGCCUAGAAGUGUCUGUGAACAGCAUAGAGGAGAACCUGCUGAAGCCCAGCACCACCUACUGCCCAGUAGAGCCAGUACCCCAACCACAAUAUCAUGCUCAGGUGGUCAGAGUCAUGGCUCCAGCACCUCCAGUCAGACUGGCAAGACGUCAUUUGCCUAACUUCCUGGGGAACUACCCAGUGCCGCAAGCUCUGCGGGAAUGUGUGGAGGCCAAGAAAGAUGUGCUGGUAGUUCAGCCAGCUCUGGGAGAGCCGCUGAGUCUGUCCUCCAUGGGUGCUCAUUUUUCAGCUUUGCUGUGGCUGGAGGAGCUGCAGGCAGAGAAGGAACUCCGGGAGUUCAGUAUCAAUGGCGCCCUCCUCAGGAAAGGGACUAUAUACCUGCACCUUGAGGUGCCCGGGCUGUGUGAGGGAAGGCCAAGUCUCUUCAUAGGUGACAAAGUUGUUCUGAGGAAGCCUUGCAGUGGAGGGUUUGUUGUGGAGUAUAUUGGCUACGUCACAGAGAUCAGUGAGGAGGAUGUGAGUUUGCGAGUAAACAAGGACUUCCAGCAGAGCUACCUGGGGGAGCCCUUGGAUGUGGAGUUUACCUACAACAGGGUGACCAUGAGAAGGUGUCACUGUGCUCUGGAACAGGCCAAGCACUUUGGAGAAAAUGUCCUCUUCCCAAAAGUCCUGCAGCUACAGCAUCCUGUAUGGACUGGAGAGUGGGAACCCGAAAAACUACAGAAAAGCAAUGAAGACGAACCUCCUGAACAAGAUGAAGGGGUGUGUGUGAAUGGGGAAAAGUCACCUUUGACCAUGGACAUGGUGUCUGUGUACACACAGACCAAAACAGAUUUGAAAACGCCUGCUAAGCACACUCCCAAACCGGGCCAAUUUUUCAACUCUAACCUCAACCCAGCCCAGAGGCAAGCAGUCAAGCGCAUCCUUGGUGGAGAAUGUCGUCCUACUCCAUACGUGCUGUUUGGUCCACCAGGCACAGGAAAAACCAUCACACUUGUUGAGGCCAUACUGCAGGUGUACCAUCGUGUGACAGGCAGUCGCAUCCUGGUUUGCACUCCGUCUAACAGUGCUGCAGACCUCAUCUGCAUUCGCCUGCAUGAGAGUGGCUUCCUUCCGGCUGCCAGUCUGGCACGGGUUAAUGCCACCUGCAGGCUGGAGGAGUCCAUCCCAGAAGUGCUGCAUCAGUAUUCUCGUGCUGGUGAAGACAUACGUAAUGCCUGUUUUCACCGUAUCGUGGUCAGCACCUGUUCUAGUGCUGGCCUGUUUUACCAGAUCGGUUUGCGUAUUGGACAUUUCACGCAUGUGUUUCUGGAUGAAGCUGGUCAAGCCACUGAGCCUGAAGCUCAGAUUCCCUUAGGUCUCCUAUCUGAGAGGACAGGCCAGAUAGUGCUGGCUGGAGACCCUAAGCAACUGGGCCCAGUUGUAAAGUCUAAAUUAGCUGAAGCCUUUGGACUGGGAGUGUCUCUGCUUGAAAGACUAAUGGCCAACCCACUCUACUCCUGCAGUGAGAAUGGCUACAAUCCAUUACUGGUAACUAAACUGGUAUAUAACUACCGAUCUCAUGAGGUCUUGUUGGCACUGCCAUCUCGUCUCUUUUAUGGGGGUGAGCUGUGUGUGCGCUCGCAAAGAUCUGUCGUGGACUCUCUGUGCCACUGGGGCAGACUUCCCACCAAGGGCUUUCCUCUCAUCUUCCAUGGAGUCAGGGGUUCAGAGAUGAGGGAAGGAAGUAACCCAUCCUGGUUUAACCCUGUAGAAGCAGUGCAAGUCAUGUUGUACUGCUGCCAGUUGGCCAAAAGACUGUACAACCCCAUACCAGCUACUGACAUUGGCAUCAUCUCACCCUACAGAAAACAGGUGGAGAAGAUUCGAGUUCUGUUGCACAAGGUUGGGCUUGGUGAUAUUAAAGUGGGCUCUGUUGAGGAAUUCCAGGGACAGGAGUUCCUAGUCAUCAUCCUGUCCACAGUGCGCUCCAAUGAGGAUCUAUCGGGCAGUGAUCUUCAAAAUGUUCUGGGCUUUCUGUCCAACCCCAAACGCUUCAAUGUGGCAAUUACUCGAUCAAAAGCUCUUCUCAUCACCAUCGGCAACCCACACGUACUAAUCAAGACAUUUGAUGUGUGUGUUGUAGGAAGCAUGUUUCUAUGCAUUACUACAGUAUGCAUAUGACAAUGGGGCUUACCUUGGCUGUGAUCCUCCUGUAUCCCUCAGAGCUACCCAUGGAACUGACCUCAAAAAGGAGAAGUAGAGACUUGAGUAGAAGUUUAGAUAAAUGAUUCAAGUGAUUGUCAGACUUCUUGUUUUGUGCCAAAUAAAAAAAAAGGUGGCCUCUGCCACCUUUUACUGCUUAAAAUGAGAAGAUUAGGCAUGUGAUUAUGUAGAAAAAAAAACAGCAGACUUCUUUCUUAAGAUCUGUGUAUUUGCCUAUAGUCAGUUCUUGUACAAUAAAAAAAGUUUGUUCAGUUUGUUGCCAUAGUAAUAAAAUGAUUGCUUGAAAUUUUGCUUGAAAUGGGCUUAUCAGUGUGCACAUUUUCCUACCAUACCUUUUUAAUAAAGCAUUUGUGUUCAGA